UCCAAUGAUGCCAUGCCCAACAUUUGGAGGUGCAGACGGCUCGGGUUUCCUGUUUACAGGAUGAACCUACCCGUAGUCCCUGUAUUCACUUGACAUUAGCGGGCCGAGUCUGAGGA